UGACGGAAACAUUUUUGGCUUCCCCUUCUUGUUAAGAUGAAGCCAACGACGUUAAAGGCUUUGGCUUGAGCUAAACCUACUAACGGUGCUACGCACCUUCGUUGCAUUGUAAUCCCUAUUACCUGUGCUCUCCACUUAGCUUAACUCUACGUAGUACAAAUCUCGCUAAAAAGACAAUCUAACUACGUCAUGGUGCGUUGCACCUAGUUUAAGAGUCACAACGUGACCUUUUUCUAGUGCUGUUGGUUCUCCCCUUUGGUUCCCCUAAAGGGGACGAACACAAGUCAUAACUACUUUGUCACUUGACUCGGGCCUUGGGCUUUCCUUUGUUGUCCCCCUUCUUCCCCUUUAGUUCCCCUUUAUGGGAAGACGAAGGGGUUCCCCUUUGGGGAAGAAGAAGAGCCAGGGGCCCCCUCACAACAUAGCAUGUUCGUCUAACGUAGGGAUUAGUCCGUAGGAGGUAUUGUUGAACGUCACGCGUUUGCUUGGUUAUGCUACGGUAUACGUAGUCCCCUAGAAGAAACUACGUUAUUCUAGGGAUUGGUAGAGACAGCAUUCACCAUAUAUGGUGAAAGAACUACAAACUCACAGAACUCGUGCUGUGAGCAUACGGCCCAGGCCGGAUGGUAGCUUUUCUUCCCCUUCCCCUUUAGUUCCCCUUUAGGGGAUGAACUCCUUUAGUUCCCCUUUAGGGGAUGAACUCCUUUAGUUCCCCUUUAGGGGAUGAACAAAGGGGUACCGAAGGGGUUCCCCUUUAGGGGAAGACAACGUGGUCCCCCUUUUUUGCAUUCGGNCGAAUACACGACGGUGCGCAGCACCGGAGUACCUUAAUAACUUUUAUAAAGUUUCUUAAUAAUAAACUACAAAAACAAUACAAAUCACUUUUAAUUGCUUAUAAAAGCUUUUAUUUUGUAUUUAAUCAUCACUUUUUUGUUUUUGGGACUUAUUUCGUUUUUAAAAAUAAGAGCCGUUUAUAUUAUAAACCAAAAAACGCGGAAUAUCUAGGAGGUAAAGCCCUUGUGACGUAAGGAACAUACGCCCAAAGUGCUAGUAACUAUGUGCUUUGUACGUAGCUUGACGUAGUCAUGCUAACAUAUAGACGACACCUUAGGG
rnacentral:lncRNA from 1 species